rnacentral:rRNA from 1 species
CUCCCAAACCCCUGUGAACAUACCAAUUGUUGCCUCGGCGGAUCAGCCCGCUCCCGGUAAAACGGGACGGCCCGCCAGAGGACCCCUAAACUCUGUUUCUAUAUGUAACUUCUGAGUAAAACCAUAAAUAAAUCAAAACUUUCAACAACGGAUCUCUUGGUUCUGGCAUCGAUGAAGAACGCAGCAAAAUGCGAUAAGUAAUGUGAAUUGCAGAAUUCAGUGAAUCAUCGAAUCUUUGAACGCACAUUGCGCCCGCCAGUAUUCUGGCGGGCAUGCCUGUUCGAGCGUCAUUUCAACCCUCAAGCCCAGCUUGGUGUUGGGACUCGCGAGUCAAAUCGCGUUCCCCAAAUUGAUUGGCGGUCACGUCGAGCUUCCAUAGCGUAGUAGUAAAACCCUCGUUACUGGUAAUCGUCGCGGCCACGCCGUUAAACCCCAACUUCUGAAUGUUGACCUCGGAUCAGGUAGGAAUACCCGCUGAACUUAAGCAUAUCAAUAAGCGGAGGAAAAGAAACCAACAGGGAUUGCCCUAGUAACGGCGAGUGAAGCGGCAACAGCUCAAAUUUGAAAUCUGGCUCUCGGGCCCGAGUUGUAAUUUGUAGAGGAUACUUUUGAUGCGGUGCCUUCCGAGUUCCCUGGAACGGGACGCCAUAGAGGGUGAGAGCCCCGUCUGGUUGGAUGCCAAAUCUCUGUAAAGUUCCUUCGACGAGUCGAGUAGUUUGGGAAUGCUGCUCUAAAUGGGAGGUAUAUGUCUUCUAAAGCUAAAUACCGGCCAGAGACCGAUAGCGCACAAGUAGAGUGAUCGAAAGAUGAAAAGCACUUUGAAAAGAGAGUUAAAAAGUACGUGAAAUUGUUGAAAGGGAAGCGUUUAUGACCAGACUUGGGCUUGGUUAAUCAUCUGGGGUUCUCCCCAGUGCACUUUUCCAGUCCAGGCCAGCAUCAGUUUUCCCCGGGGGAUAAAGACUUCGGGAAUGUGGCUCUCUUCGGGGAGUGUUAUAGCCCGUUGUGUAAUACCCUGGGGGGGACUGAG